rnacentral:rRNA from 1 species
UACGGGGGGGGCAAGCGUUGUUCGGAAUUACUGGGCGUAAGGGGCGCGUAGGCGGUUCGCUAAGUUGGAUGUGAAAACUCUGGGCUCAACCCAGAGCCUGCAUCCAAAACUGGCGGGCUAGAGUUCUGGAGGGGGUAGCGGAAUUCCUGGUGUAGCGGUGAAAUGCGUAGAUAUCAGGAGGAACACCGGUGGCGAAGGCGGCUACCUGGACAGAAACUGACGCUGAGGCGCGAAAGCUAGGGGAGCAAACAGG